GGAAAUCAAUCUCCUGCUUGUCUGAGUCUGAGCUCAUGCACUGUUCAAUCACUUGAAGCAGAGGCUCAAUGAUGUCAAACACCAGGGGGUUCUCUGGUUGCUUACUCAGGAACACUUCAAUCAGAUCCAGCACCUUGAUCUUGAAAUCCCUCCGCAGGAUCUUCUCUUUCCGUAUCCUGUCUUUCUCAUCCUUCUUUGCUUGGAUCCGUUUUUGCUGUUCUGCAAAGAGUGCUGAGAUGCUCUUGUCGAGAGCCAUCAUAGCCUCAUCAUCCAGUUCUUCAUCACUCUCAUCUUCUCCCACUGCAUUCCCUGCUUGAAGAACAUUGAUCAGCUGACUGCGAAAAUCUUCAUCAACUUCUUCAUUCUUCUCAUCUUCACUGUCAUUCUCUUCCUCGGUGUCGCCAUCAUCUGAGGAGUCCUCACUUUCAUCAUCAUCCGUGUCCUGUGCAGACUUCUUCUCUUUCUCUGAUUCUUCCACUACAACAACAGCACUUUCUUCAUCCUGAUCUUGGUACGGGUCGAGAACAUCCAAGAUCAGCUGCAGGCCCUUCUUGGUCAGGUUAGGACAUAUCCGUCCAAACACGCUGUUGGAAAUGCGACGUAUGAGCAGGCUGGGCUGGGCAAGGAGGGAGAGGAGGAUUUCCACAAU
rnacentral:lncRNA from 1 species